rnacentral:rRNA from 1 species
GACGAACGCUGGCGGCGUGCUUAACACAUGCAAGUCGAACGGAAAGGCCCUGCUUUUGUGGGGUGCUCGAGUGGCGAACGGGUGAGUAACACGUGAGUAACCUGCCCUUGACUUUGGGAUAACUUCAGGAAACUGGGGCUAAUACCGGAUAGGAGCUCCUGCUGCAUGGUGGGGGUUGGAAAGUUUCGGCGGUUGGGGAUGGACUCGCGGCUUAUCAGCUUGUUGGUGGGGUAGUGGCUUACCAAGGCUUUGACGGGUAGCCGGCCUGAGAGGGUGACCGGCCAAAUUGGGAAGGAGAGACGGCGCAGACUCCUCCGGGAGGCAGCAGUGGGGAAUAGUGCACAAUGGGCGGAAGCCGGAUGCAGCAACGCCGCGUGCGGGAGGACGGCCGGCGGGUUGUAAACCGCUGUCGCCUGGGACGAAGCGUGAGUGACGGUAAUGGGUAAAGAAGCACCGGCUAACGACGUG